UCUUUAGGAGUGGCUCUAUUUAGAUAUCUAAAAUCAAUGCAAACUCGAACUUAGAGAUCAACUCAACAUACUCAUAUAUAUAUAGAAAAUUAUCUAUAUGCUAUUGGAAAUUUAACCCAUCCCUUGUAUGCCAUCCAAAUUUAAGUCAUCCCUGUCAUUGAAAUUUGAACUCCAUUCCGUGUAAGCCAUUACUAGCACAUUACAAUCAC
rnacentral:lncRNA from 1 species